rnacentral:lncRNA from 1 species
CCAAGUGAUUAACAAAAGAUGGUGUAUCAAACCAUCAAUCAAACCUCACCAAUAAAAGCUCAAACCUUCCUCUUAGGCGGACCAAAGGAAUUCACACUUCUCAAAACCCACCUUUCUUGCCAAUUUGUCAACACAAGUGAAAUCCAUCAAAUGUGCUAACCCUAAUUCAGUUUCUCUCUCUUAAGGAUAAGGAGAAUACUACAAGCUAACACUAAUAUUACAAUCUGAAAAUUCACUCAAUUCAUUAUGUCAAAACUUAGGAAAAAUAAGAGCUAAGGUGUCUAUUUAUACUUAUUACAAACAAGGACAAAAAUACCCUUAAUGAAGGAUGCUUCUUUGGAGUGUAAAAAGGGAGUCUUAAAAGACAACAAUAGCCCUAAAAUGGGGCGCCUCUUGAGUGUCAAAUCAUAGUGUGCAAAGUCCAUUUUGUCCUUCAAGUGAGGCGCAUCUCGAGUGUAAUGAUUCCCUUCUCCUCCUUCCACUUGAUAAGGCUUUAAAAUGCUUCAAACACUUGCCAAUUCUGAAGUUUGAACCUUUGAAAAUGCCUUGUACAAUUUUGUGCACCUCAUGCUUGUAUCAUCCUCUCCAUCUUAGUGGAAUUUGUCCUCAAAUUCUGAUCCUAUAAAAUCAAAGAGAGAAGAAAAUAAGCACACAAUCCUCUUGGUAGGAGGGUUAGAAUUAGUGCCAAAUUAUAUGAACACACCAAGGGGGCACACUCUUAGAAUAUAGCCAACAAUCCUUUGUAAUAAUCAUGAAACACUUACUAUAAGCAACACAAAGGACAUGAAUAAGAUAUGCAUCCAAGAGAGGAAAGUGCAACCCAAAAUCAUCACAUAUUUCAACACUCCAAGGUUGUUCACAUUUGAAAUACAACCACGGGUCCUUUGUGUGUGAAAUGAAAAGCUUAGCAUGAAUGACAUAAAGGAGGUGGUUUUGGAAAAUAUCAAAAGAUAAGGAAACUACAAUGGUCUUAACGAUUUUACUAUACCCAAAAGGUAAGACUACCUUUGGCUUAGGAACCAUAAGAUAUAUUUGUUUCAUUACCUCUACAAAGGACCUCAUCAAAUAUGGUUCCACUAUUAAUCCUAAGGUCCACCUCACCCACACAUCACUAUCAUUCAAAUAAGGAAACCAACCACCAAAUUUCCUACCUCUACACAAUACAAAUUCAGAAUUAACAUGUUUAUCAUCAUAGCUAAAGAGGUAGUAUAAAAAGGAAUCAAGUGUGAAGACAUCAUGCCGAGGGGGUACACUUUUAAAAUACAACCAACAAUCCUUUGUUCUAACCAUGAACCAUCUAGCAUGAGCAUUACAAAGGAUAGGUAUAAGACAAACAUCAAAGGAAAAUAAACACAAGCCGAAACAAUUCUUUUUUCCUCCCCACUAGUACACCGGGAUCAAAUGGGUGAAGUGGCCAAGGUACUAAACCGAAGCUACUCAUUCCAUCUACUAGGGUAUCACACUCACCCAAAGCAUUUGUUCUUAAGGGAAGACUACCACACAAAGAUAAAGACCUACGGCUUAGUAGGCUUCCCUUAACAACAUACACCUCAUCAUCCACAAUCUCUCCAUACACAUGAUCACCAAGAAUACAAUUAAUAGCAAGGUUCUCACCACAUAAGAAGUUCAAGGGACCAUAUUCAUUAUCAAGAUCAACACUAUAUACAUUAACACUAACUUGAAGCUCAUCAAGCACAUCAUACAUAAACUCAAGUAGUGGGCUAUAUUCGUGAGUAAAUUGAUCAUCAUUCACAUCCUCACUGGUUGUUGGCAACUCACAUACCAACGUAAACUCACCUCAAUUUUCACAAGAGUCAACUAGUGUGUGAAUACUCUUGUCACUUAGUAAUGGAACCUUAUUCAAGUCAUGAGUGCUAGCACUAGAUGGACACAAAUCAUUCUUACGAAAAGAAUCAAUUUUGUCAUCUUUAGGAUCAACUAGUGCUUGCAAACUUACAUUAAGAAUUUGGUCUUCAUGCAAUCUAAUAAUACCAAGAGUAUUACAAAGGUAAGACUCAUGCGAUUCUCCUCCCAGCAAACCAUCAACUACAUCCAUUUGGCUACUACUAGCCACAUCAUGACAUUCUAAGUUUAUAAGAGUGUAGGAGAUAGCAUUGUUACCUUUUAGCUCACAUGAGGUAUGGCCUUUACCUAGGUUUGGAUCAUGGCAGCCCAUUUGUUCCUUUGGGAAGCUCUCAUUACAAGGGAGUUUGUCAAGAAUUUUUCCUUGCAUCACCUCUUUGUCAUUUUUUCCAAAGUUGGAAUUCUUAGCCAAGAGCUUCAUUUGAUCAACAGCUAUGUGUUCUUGAGGAACUCUCCUUGAAUUCUCCAGUGGAAGUAUAUUAUCUUGAACCUAUACACAAGGCUUGAUACUAGGCAAAAUGCUAGCAUCUUGGUUAGUAGUGAUUCGGCUUAGAUGACAUGUUUCAAUCAUCAAUUGGCGUAGACUUUCAAGGUGCCAAUAGAAAUUUUCAAAAGGAUCCGAGAUAGUAUAAAUACUAUAACUAUCCGGAGUGGAUGAUAUUGUUCCUUCCAUUGUCAAGGUACCUAAAAAGAGCAAAAAAAAACAUCAAAGGCCUAAAAAAUAAACAAAUAAGUUAGUUCAAAUAACCUCACACACUCAUACUCGGAUCUCACCUCACACUUGGUCUCACAAGUGUUGAAUACUUGGCAAUACUUGGUAAGUGAAUUGAGUGGUGAAUAUGCCUUGGUUCGAAAUUGAUUUUUGUUUGAUAAGACUCAAAUAAAAUGAUGCACGGACUUGAACCAACAAACUACUAUGACUUAAAAAUAAGAAAAGCACACAAAAAGCGAAGACACGAACAAAAUGAACUCAAGACUAAUUAUCAACCUAGUAGGUACUUACUAGUUUGCUAAUUAUUGUUAGAAUCAAGACAAAAGCAACUAGAAACAUCAAAUAGAAACUUAGAAAUCUAAUUUAGAACUCAAUUUGGUUGUUCAUAAAAUGAUGACAUGGCAACUUGUGGUUGACGUCACUUUUCAAAAUUUUCAAUUCCAAAUCUCUUGUUUCGGAGAAAUACUCCUUUGGGGAAGAAGAAUUUCAAUUUUAGGAGGGAAAAUGAAGGUUUGAAGCCUUUUUGGAGCUUCAAAUGAAUUCAAAAUGGAUUGGUCCCCUCAAGUGUACUUUCAAUUGUACUUGUUUGUCCCCUUGUCCCCUCUUUCUUUUUGGAAGACUUAGAAUAUGCUAGGGAAUAUUCUUGUACAAACACUUUGUACACUCUUUUUCUACUCCCUUUUUGGAUCAAACAAGCUACUUGAAUAUUCUUCUUCAAGAUUUAAAGAUGGUGGAUGAACAAGAUGACUAUUCAAGAGUUGACCAAGGUUUGACCACUAGGCAAAUGAACCCUAACUUUAAUUUUUCUUUUAGAUCUAGGUUUUCUUUGUCAAACCAAGCACAACCAACACAAAACCAGCCACAAAACACCAUACACAAUUUGAUCAAAAAAUGAGACCCCUCCUCAAAAGCUUCAAACAAGCCACAACAAUGGUGGAUCUAGCUCAAAAACAACCAAAUCUUGUUCUAAACUUAGAUCUAGACCCUUUAAGUGCUAAAGAACAAGAAUAUAACACUAGAAACUAUCAAAACAGACUAAAAAUUAGUAGAUCUAAGUUGUGAAAUUCGGAUCUACUACCAAACAACAAGACAACACAUAAUUUUAUUUUGAGUUUUUCAAAUUUUUGACUCUUUUUGUGGAUAUUUAUACUCUAGACUCUUUUUUUGUGAAGAUUUUAUUAGAUCCAAGACUUAGAGUUGUGGGAACAACUCUAAUACAUGUAUCUGAUACGAAAUGAUACAAGAUAAGACUAGGAAUUCACGAAAUGGAAACACAAGAUGCAAAAAUCAGCAAGCAAAAACAACACAAAAGAAAGGGGAUGAAGAAGAAGAUUACAUAAACGUAAAGAUAGAUAGAAAGACCCUUACUUAUACCAAGUGAUUAACAAAAGAUGGUGUAUCAAACCAUCAAUCACACCUCACCAAUAAAAGUUCAAACCUUUCUCUUAGAUGGACCAAGGGAAUUCACACUCCUCAAAACCCACCUUUCUUGCCAAUUUGUCAACACAAGUGAAAUCCAUUAAUUGUGCUAACCCUAAUUCGAUUUCUCUCUCUUAAGGAUAAGGAGAAUACUACAAGCUAACACUAAUAUUACAAUCUAAAAAUUCACUCAAUUUAUUAUGUCAAAACUUAGGAAAAAUAAGAGCUAAGGUGCCUAUUUAUACUUAUUACAAACAAGGAUAAAAAUACCCUUAAUGAAGGGUGCUCCUUUGGAGUGUAAAAAAGGAGUCUUAAAAGACAACAAUAGCCCUAAAAUGGGGUGCCUCUUGAGUGUUAAAUCAUAGUGUGCAAAGUUUAUUUUGUCCUUUAAGUGAGGCGCCUCUCGAGUGUAAUGGUUCCCUUCUUCUCCUUCCACUUGACAAGGCUUUAAAAUGCUCCAAACACUUGUCAAUUCUAAAGUUUGAACCUUUGACAAUGCCUUGUACAAUUUUGUGCACCUCAUGCUUGUAUCAGUCUUCCCAUAACGCACAAUCUGAAUUGAGUAAUCAAAAAGCUAGUGAUCACUCUGGGAAGUUUAAGACUAUGAACAUGAGAAUCAGUAGUGUGCCAACUGGCAAUCAAUUUGAAUCCCUCUGCGACCCAGUUAGCCAAAUUGACGAAGGUCAUGGGGGUGAUCAUGGGGGCAGUCACAACCCUCCAUUAUCAUUGCUAAAUGGAACAUGAGGGGCUUAAAUCAGCCCUUAAAGCAAAAAGAGGUGCGACGCUUUUUGCAAAAGUAUGGAGUAGAGGUUUUUGGUUGUCUUAAAACUAGAGUAAAGGAACAUAAAUACAAGGGUAUCUUACAAAAAAUUAUGCAAAGGUGGAACUAUAGUUGUAACUACCCUAUGGUUGCAAAUGGAAGAAUAUGGCUACUAUGGAAAGAAAAUAUUAAUUUACAGGUCAUUGAAAUCAGAGAACAAUUUGUGCACUGUCAUGUUAAGAACUCCACAGUCAACUUUGCAACAUUCCUAACAAUAGUUUAUCCUAGGAAUGAACCCCAACAGAGGGUACUAUUAUGGAAUGACCUGAAAAUGUUAGGCAGAGCUAUGCAGGGCGCUUGGUUACUAAGUGGUGACUUCAAUAAUGUGCUCUCUACAAAUGAUAGAAUUGGUUCACCAGUGAUACCUGGAGAAAUUCAAGCUUUUCAGGAAUGUAUUGAUGAUCUACAACUCACCUCUCUAAGGGGAAAAGGCUGGCAUUACACCUUCUGUAAUAGACAUGAAGGUAUUACCAGGGUUUACUAAAAAAUUAAUUGGCUUUUGGUAAUUUCCAGUGGUUGUAGAGAUACAACCAGGUGGAGGUAGAAUACUUAAACCAUGGAGUCUCAGAUCAUACCCCAAUUCUGAUUGAAUAUAGACAAGUUAAUAACAAUAACCCCAAGCCAUUCAAGUUGUUUAACACAGUGAUGAAACAUUCUGAUUUCCCUGGCCUGGUAAAAGAAACUUGGGCAAAAUCAUGUAAUGUCACCCAUAUGUAUAGAUUAUGGAGGAAGUUGAACUUGCUUAAGCUGAUAGUUAAGAACCUAAACUCCGAUCUAUCACCUUAUGAGAAACGACUGAAAACUGCCAGGGAAAAGCUGAAUAUAGUGCAAAGUCGGUUGCUUAGAAACUCUCAGGAUCAAACUUUGAUUGAGGAAGAGAAGCAAAUACAAAAGGAUGUGAUCAAAUGGAGCAGUGUUGAAGAGCAAGGUCUGAGGCAGAAAUCUAGAGCAAUAUGGAUAAAAUUUGGAGAUGCCAACACUAGAUACUUCCAUGCUCAUUACAAAUUAAGGAUUCAUAAGAAUGUUAUCUCAAUAAUGUACAAUGACCACGGCACCAAGCUUACUGAACCAGAUUUGAUUAAAAAGGAUUUUAUCUUUGUCUUUAUCAACCAGAUAGGUACAGCUGUAAAUGAACUCCCAUGCUCAGAUGCAGGCAUUAUUAGAAGAGGACCCUGAUUGACAUAUCAUCAUAAAUGCUCUCUGAUCAGACCUGUAUCGAUAGAGGAAAUUCAAAUUAUAUUGAAAGAGAUACCAGUUGAAAAAUCUCCUGAAAUUGAUGAAUUUCCUAUAGAUUUCUUCACUCAACAGUGGGAUGUGAUAAAUGAUGAUGUGAGGAAAGCUGUUGCUGAAUUCUUCUCCUCUGGUAAACUUCUUAAAACCUUCAGUUGUACAUCCCUUACAUUAGUCCCUAAAGUUAAAUCCCCUACUUAUGUCAAAGAUUAUAGACUCAUUGCUUGUUGUACCACCUUCUAUAAAAUAGUCACAAAGAUCCUCACUAACAGAAUCAAGAGAGUAAUUAAUACUAUAAUCAGCCCUUCACAAUCAGCAUUUAUAGAACGAAGAAGCAUUACUAAUAACAUAUUAUUUAGCCAUGAACUACUCAAAUGGUACACUAGAAAAGGGUUAUCCCCAAGGUGUGUAUGAAGGUAGAUUUAAGAAAGUCCCAUGACUCAAUAGAGUGGGAAUUUAUGGAAAACAUGCUUGCUUAUAUGGGGUUUCCUUUCAAGUUUAUUCAAUGGGUUAUGGAAUACAUCUCCUUUGUAUCUUAUUCGUUGGUCAUAAAUUGUGGGUUUACUAAACCUUUUCAAGGAAAAAAGGGUAUUAGGCAAGGUGAUUCAAUGUCACCCUACCUAUUUGUAAUUACAAUGGUGUAUCUACUAAGGGAAUUAAAUGUCAUAGCUAACCACCCCCAGUUUAAAUUUCAUCCUAAAUGCAAGAAGUUGGGUGUUAUGCAUAUAUGCUUUACAAAUGAUCUGUUGAUGUUUUGCAAAGCUGAUAUUCCCUCUGUAAAGCUAAUGAUAGAAGCCUUUACUAAGUUCUCAAAAGCAACAGGCCUGCAAGCCAACAUUGACAAAAGCUCUUUGUACAUGAGUAGGGUCAAAAACCAAAUGAAAUAGACAAUCUUAUAGGAACUAGGCUUUGUAGAAGGCUCCUUACCUUUCAGGUACCUGAGGGUACUAAUUUCUUCAAAAAAGCUGACAAUAGACCAGUGUAUGCCUCUUAUGGACAAGAUUGUUGAGAGAAUUACUUGCUGGACAGCUAAGCUUCUUACCUAUGCAGGGAGAUUAUAGCUUAUCAAGGCUGUAAUCUUUGGUCUCCAAACAUAUUGGGCACAAAUCUUUGUGUUCCCCAAGAGAAACUUAAAGCUUAUUGAAACAGCUUGUAGAACUUUUCUUUGGACAGGUUCAAUAGUGGUAUCAAAGAAGGCCCUAGUUUUUUGGGAGAAAAUACGUCAUCCAAGGGCAGCAGGAGGCCUAAAUGUCUUAAACAUGUACAGGUGGAACAAAGCUGUUGUGAUGAAGCAGCUUUGGGCACUAGCAACCAAGAAAGAUUGCUUAUGGGUUAAAUGGGUACACAUAUAUUAUAUGAAGCAUGAAACAAUUGAUAGCUGCCAGGUUCCUCAGAAUGCUACAUGGGUCAUCAGGAAGGUACUUGAAGCUAGGAAAAUCCUCAACACUUUGAGUACCCUAAAUGGUGGUGUUGUUACUAGAUUGCAAACAAUGGUAAGCAGAGAUAGAUUCCUGGUCAAAAAUAUGUACAAUACACUAACACCUACAUUUCCUAAAGCAAGCUGGAAGAGUUUGACAGAGCAGCCGGCUAUACAUCCUCAACAUAAAUUCUUUUUAUGGCUAGCAUUGCAGAAGAAACUUCCCACAGUUGAGAGGUUAUUGAAGAUUGGUGUGGUAGUUUCUCCUACUUGUGUAUUCUGUAAGUCUACUGAUGAGACUAAAGAACAUUUGUUCUUUAAGUGUAGCAUCACCUAUCAGCUCUGGCAUAGAAUUCUAAGAUGGAUAGGGGAGCACAGAACAAUUGGACAAUGGCAAACUAAAAUGAAAUGGGUUACUAGCUGGUAAAGAAGAAAAAUGACAAUGGAGGUAUAAUAAGUUGUCUAUUUGCUAUGGUAAUUCAUGUGAUAUGAAGGAAAGGUAAUAUAAUGAGAUUCCACCAAGGACAAUAUGACCUGGAUAGAGUGUGCAAAGAAAUUGUGGCAUUCAUCCAUACUAGAGGUUGUGACAUCAAGCAAUGGAAACCGAUUUUGCAGCAACUGAACAUGCCUCCAUGAGGAUUUGCAGCACCUGGACAUUCACUAGAAUUACUGUAGGAGCAUUUUGUAAUUAAUUUCCUUAAUGUAAGUGAAUUUCUUAGUAUCAGUAGAUCUAGUGUAGUGAAAUGAUUGUAUGAGAGUUAGGAGGUCUGCUCCUAGCUGGCAACAUGUACGAACACUUUGGUAUUAAAUAAAACCUGUUUAGUUACCCAAAAAAAAAAAAUUAAUGAUUUAUAGAUUCUAGACAUAUGCAUUC